rnacentral:lncRNA from 1 species
GCAUUAAACUGAGAAGAACCACUGAGGAAAGCAUGCCACAGUCUUUCCCAAAAUCCCUGUGUCUUAAGGAACAACCAAGAAGUUAACUGGUCAGGGAAAAGAUUUCUUUUGGAACACAGAAGCCAUCGCUGUGUGCGGAAAUCCAUGACCUGGCCAUGACUUCUACAACCCGGAGGACUUGCCUGGCAUUACCGAAAAGCACAGGGGAAAGAUUCUGUGGCAGGUGCCGCAUUUCAUCCAGCUCACUCCGUGCUAGUUCCUAAGACAUCUUAAUUCUUACACAUAUGCAUAAUCGUGAUAUUUUGCCAUGAAUAACAAUAUAUUUCACAAUUAUCAACCAUUUUAAUUUUUAGCUUUCUAACCUCGGACUACUAUAAUAAAAAGAAAUAAUAAAUCCAAAAGUAGUAGUGG